rnacentral:lncRNA from 1 species
AUGUGGAGAAAAUGAUUCAGAUUCAAACUGUGCAGCUACUCCAUCUAAGGAUGUUUUUGUUGCUCAGUAUGUUGAAGAUGUUGAUUGUGAAGUUUUUGGAGCUAUGCAAUUUUUAAUGAUCAAACCUUCGAAGACAGUAAAGAUCAAAACAAAUGCUUAAUUUAAUAUUGGGCCAGAAAGAGAAAUGUAUGUUUUUUCUAUUCUUCUUGAACAAGGAAGUUAACUGUAGCAAGUAUUCAAAAACACA